CUGUGUAGAAAAUCCCUAUGCAGUAAAGAUCAAUAAAUAUCAGAUAUAAGAAUCAAUAGUCUAGAUACCCCUGUUUCAUUAAGCAUACUCACAAUACUGUGAGUGCUUCUCCAUUAAGUGAAUGUCUAGACUGAUAAGGAAUAAAAAAAGGAAAGAAUAGAAUUAAGUGCUAGAGUGCAGAACCAUGCUUAGAAUGCUGGUUAUCUGCACUUGUGUGAUAGAGUGUCCUGUGAAAACAUAGAAAAACCCAAGGCGCGUUUUGGAGCCUUGGAUGUGCACCUUCUAUGUUUUCACAGGGCACUAUCACACAAGUGCAGG